CCUACCUAUAAGACUGGGAUAACUUCGGGAAACCGGAGCUAAUACCGGAUAAUAUAUUGAACCGCAUGGUUCAAUAGUGAAAGACGGUUUUGCUGUCACUUAUAGAUGGAUCCGCGCCGCAUUAGCUAGUCGGUAAGGUAACGGCUUACCAAGGCAACGAUGCGUAGCCGACCUGAGAGGGUGAUCGGCCACACUGGAACUGAGACACGGUCCAG
rnacentral:rRNA from 1 species